rnacentral:rRNA from 1 species
CCCUCCCGGACAUAAAACAACAAAUAAACUUAACUUAACCUGUUUUUGGUUGGGGCAACCAAGGGGGAAAACUAAACCCCCUUAUCGACUGAGUAUUCAAUAUACUUAAAAAUUAAAACGAACAGUUUUAAUCAAUAGAACAUCUAUCGAACAAUGACCCAGGAUAGUAUAUCCUGAUCAAUGAACCAAGUUACCCUAGGGAU